AUCCCGCCGUGAAGGAGGGGUGGGUGGAGGGGGUGGGUGGGUAAGGAAGAAGAGAGAGGUAAGGGAGGGUCUUUUUUUUUUUAGCCUUCCCCGCAGGCGGCGGACGGCGUUAACCCCCGCUCUGCCCAGGCUCGCUUCCUUCCUAAUCUCAAUAGCUUCGCAGCGAGUCCCUCAGCAGCUCCAGGCGAUCCGAAGGGCUCGCGAGUCGCAGCGCUGGAUGCUCAUUCAUUGCAGCUCAGCAGCGGCAACAGCAGCUGCCGCCCCUCUCACACUUUGCUGCCCACCCCCAGAAGGGGAACCACCAGCAGCUCCUCGGCUGCCCCCGCCCACUGUUCGCAAAGCAUCCUGGGGAACGUAGUCCUGCCUUUGUUGUCUUCUUCUUCUUCAGCCACAAGGAGAAGGAUGCAACUCAGAGCCGGUUGACUUGGGGAAGGUGUUUUAUCUUGUGCCUGUUCACCGCCCUGAGUCCUUCGGGAGUAGGGCGGUAUAUAAAUCAAAUGAAAUGAAAAUGAAAUGAAAUGAAAUUCGGAGCCAAACAGAAGGAGGGAGCUUCCGGAUCAAGAGAAAGGCCAAUGUCAUAUCCCCCGCUGGCUGGGGGAUUCUGGGAGUUGAAGUCCACCCAUCUUCAAGCUUCCAAGGUUGAGAAACACUGAUUUACGAAAACCUUUCCCAACGGAGUGGCUGCUACGUCUCCCAGACUGCUGGGCAUCAUGGGGGUAUAAUGUAGUAAAGAGUGGCCGAUUUGAGCAGAUUAAUCAAAACGAAUGUACAUUUUAUUCCUUGAUAGCCUCUUUAAAAAAAAAAACAGGCUCCUGUUAGGUCUCACAGUCAUUUUAUAUGUGGUUGUGAUGAUUGGGACAAACCCAAGAUUAGGCAGGACUAGAAAAGAGUUUUUUUGGGGGGAGGGGGUUUGAGCCCAGAAAAGAAAAGAAAAAAAUCCAUUUGGAAUGUGAAACAGCCUAGCAGAAGGAAAGGCAGCUCUCACACAGAUGGCACAGCCCAGCAAGUUCUCCUAUGCAACUCUUCUCUAGCCCCAAUUCCUUGCCAGAUCUGAGCUAUGCAAAAAACCUCUGGGAAGAGACAAGUUAUUUGCUGUCACCUAGUGGUCAUCCAGUAGUGAGUCUCCUAAAAUAAUACACAGCCUUUUCAUUUCCAUGGGUUCGUUAGGGCAUUAAUUAGCGCACCUUGGGAGAGUGACAUUUUGGGCUUUUUUUUUUUUUUAUUGUCGGCUUGAGGCAUCUAGAUAUCUUGGAUCAGCCCUAAAACUGUAAGUAAUAAUAGAAACAGUGAGAUAUUAAUGAUACACAGAAAUUUGCUAUUUUUUUUCCUAAAUCUCCACCUCCCAUAUAAGCAGCUGGUUGUAUCUGGUUGAGUAUGGAAGUAUGGAUCAGGCUUUGCUAGUAUUUAAAUCAGUAUUUAAGCUCCCAGAAUUCCCCAGCCAGCAGGCUGGGAAAAGGUAACAGCAAACCCCCAAAAUUUUAACCUUAAACUGUCUACUGUUGACCUCACCCCAUUCCUAAGAGGUCUGUAAUGGGCGUGCAUAAGUGCACCAGCGUGCCUAACGUCCCUGUCCUAAUAUUUCUUUUUACUUACUCUUUUCAUGUACUCAAAUUAUGUUUAUACUUUUACCUGUUAUCUUAUAUAUGUUUGACAAAUAAACUUAUGAUUAUGAUUAAAUUAUUUUGAUAUUCCUUCCAAGAAAAUGCAUGGACCAUGCCCAUAUAGUUAGCAGGAGUUGUUCAGUGCUGCUUUAUUUUAUCUCCUUUUUCUUAUUCCUGCAAUUUUAAUUAACCUAUGUACCCAUUUUUACAGACUAUUUAGCAGAGAAAUCUGAAUAAAAGAUAUAUUUUGGGAGCAAAUUGUAUGUUUGCACAAAUCUCUAAAUGAACAGUUCCCACAGAGUAAAAAGCUAAAUACUGUACAAAUUAGUUCUACAAUGUGUAUAUUUAUUUAUUUUAUUAAAUUUAUAUGCCGCCCUUCUCCCGUAGGACUCGGGGCGACACACAGAAUAAAAACAUGUAACAAUAAGAAAUCCUAAAAACAGCCAAUAUAAAAGCCCAAACAGAA